AUUUUUUUGGCUCCAUUUUAUCCUGGCCGUUAGAUCAUUGUAAUUAGGAAAAUUAGCACAUCAACCGUUAGAUCAUUUUAAUUUGAAAUUUGAAAUCCACUAUUCCCUCCUAGACUACCUUGAUUAAAGGACAUUGGUUUAAAAUGAUUAUUGAACUUCCCAUCCACAAUUAAUUGUAUUAUGUUUUCCAUGAGUCAUUUAACUACCUUCACUAAAGAUUUGCAUCGGCCCUUUUUUUUAUUAUUAGUUCAUAUCUUUUUGUCCAGCUUUCUCUCUUCCACACUUACUCUCCCUCAGUCCACCCCGCUUGCUCUUACGCUUUCUCUCUUCACUCUCUUCCAUGUCUUUUCCACUUUCACAGUCGUAUUUCUCUUCUCAUCUUUCGCCGUCGUCGACUCGACCGCCACCGUCAGCGGUGGAUUUUCUCCUGCGGCCUCCUCUCUAGCUCUCUCCGUCCAGUUGCCUCUUCCGUUUCCCGGUGGUCGAUCAAUGGCUCUGAGCGCGACAGUCACAGUGAGGCAACCAAAUACGACACACAAUUCUUUUACGACUUGGGAAGCAUUCCGGUGACGAUUCAAUUUCCACCGUUGAGUGAUGGCUCAGUGGCCCCGUAACUUUUGCAAUUGAAAUUCUAACGGUGGUGCAGCUAUAUGCAUCUUUGUGGAUGAAUGUAUGAGGUCCGGUCGUUGAAUAUGCCAGGUUGUUACUUGCUUAGUUGAAGAGACUUUGAUUUGCGGGAGGAAAUAUAUGAUAUUAGUUUUGAUUCAUGAAGUUAUCUGAUGGAUGAAGGAGAAGCUUUUGAACUAGCUCAAUGCCAUUUCAUGGUCAUCAAAACCUUGGAGGAAUAUGUGUCUCUUGCUACAGUUAUAAAAGUAGGAGAAGAUCUUCAAUGGCCUUUAACUAAAGAUGAGCCUGUGGUGAAGCUAGAUGCUCUCCAUUACAUUUGAGUGAUUUCUAUUUUUUGAAUGAAUUUUAAGUUCAUCUGAUUGAUGAAGGAGAAGCUUUUGAUAUCUAUUUGUAUCCUACUAAAUGAUUUCCAUAUUAUAUUUGUAUCUACUAAACGAUAUCUAUUGAAUGUUCUUUUUUAGUUAUAAGUUGAUUAAGGGUCCUUUAAAGUUUGCAUCUGAUUUUUUGACAUUAAUUUAUGGAGAAUCAUUGAUCUUUAAAGCGCUGACUUUUUUUUGAUGUAAAUGGUCAGUUUUUUCGAUGUAAAUCGAUCAACAAAAAGUCAAGGGCAGUCGUUAAAACAAGUUGCUACCGCACGGGUCAUAUAUAGUUGAGAACAUUUUAAUGGUUAGUAGGAGUAGACACUCUAACCUCUCUUACUGUUUGUGUUUUUGUUGGAUUGCAGGUGAAUUGGAAACUAAUUAACAGGACUUUCAUGCUAUUGUUGUUACAAGACAGUUCCCACAAUAUAUGUAUUUGUAAUCUGUUUCAUGGUAUUGAAAAUGCAUUAUGAAUUCACUUAUCUGUAUUUUUGUGUGUUUUUCAAAUGAAUUUGCAAUCUGUUUCAUGGUAUUUGCAAUCAGUUUUUUUCCAAUGGAAAACUUUAUGUUGCGGUUUCUAGAGUUACCUCAAGAAAAGGAUUGAAAAUUCUAUUGGCACAUGAAGAUGGUAACUGUAUGAAUACUACAUCAAAUGUUGUGUAUAAAGAAGUAUUCCGUAAUCUGUAGUCAAUCCUGCUGUAUGAUUGUGAUGCUACUUUGAUAGGUUAAGUUCAAUAUGCAGCAGAAGGCUAUUGGCUAUUUGUGCGUCAUUCAGAAUCAGUUAUAUGAAUUGGAAAGUUAUUUACAUGACUUUAAUUUGAUCAUCAUUGUUAGAAGUAGAGGAAGCAGAUAUUAUGAAAUUGUAAUCUGUCAAAUGGUAGUGAACAUGAAAUGUGCAUAGGCAUUGGAUGAUGGAAAUGUAUAUUGUAAUUAUUGUAAUUACAAUUAUUAAUCGCCGUAUUUAGUUAUUGUAAUUACUCACGUGCAAUAUUGACAAGUUUUGUAUCCAAUUUCGUGGUUUAA